UACGUAGGGUGCGAGCGUGUCCGGAAUUAUUGGGCGUAAAGAGCUCGUAGGCGGUUUGUCACGUCUGCUGUGAAAUCCCGAGGCUCAACCUCGGGCCUGCAGUGGGUACGGGCAGACUGGAGUGCGGUAGGGGAGAAUGGAAUUCCUGGUGUAGCGGUGGAAUGCGCAGAUAUCAGGAGGAACACCGGUGGCGAAGGCGGGUCUCUGGGCAGUAACUGACGCUGAGGAGCGAAAGCCAGGGGAGCAAACGGGG
rnacentral:rRNA from 1 species